rnacentral:rRNA from 1 species
AGCGGCGGAUGGGUGAGUAACACGUGGGGAACCUGCCCCUAAGUCUGGGAUACCAUUUGGAAACAGGUGCUAAUACCGGAUAAUAAAGCAGAUCGCAUGAUCAGCUUUUGAAAGGCGGCGUAAGCUGUCGCUAAGGGAUGGCCCCGCGGUGCAUUAGCUAGUUGGUAAGGUAACGGCUUACCAAGGCGACGAUGCAUAGCCGAGUUGAGAGACUGAUCGGCCACAUUGGGACUGAGACACGGCCCAAACUCCUACGGGAGGCAGCAGUAGGGAAUCUUCCACAAUGGACGCAAGUCUGAUGGAGCAACGCCGCGUGAGUGAAGAAGGUUUUCGGAUCGUAAAGCUCUGUUGUUGGUGAAGAAGGAUAGAGGUAGUAACUGGCCUUUAUUUGACGGUAAUUACUUAGAAAGCCACGGCUAACUACGUGCCAGCAGCCGCGGUAAUACGUAGGUGGCAAGCGUUGUCCGGAUUUAUUGGGCGUAAAGCGAGUGCAGGCGGUUCAAUAAGUCUGAUGUGAAAGCCUUCGGCUCAACCGGAGAAUUGCAUCAGAAACUGUUGAACUUGAGUGCAGAAGAGGAGAGUGGAACUCCAUGUGUAGCGGUGGAAUGCGUAGAUAUAUGGAAGAACACCAGUGGCGAAAGGCGGCUCUCUGGUCUGCAACUGACGCUGAGGCUCGAAAGCAUGGGUAGCGAACAGGAUUAGAUACCCUGGUAGUCCAUGCCGUAACGACGAGUGCUAAGUGU